AGUUUUAUGAAAUUUUUAAUAUAAAAUAAAACCUGCCCAGUGAAUUUUUUUCAACGGCCGCAGUACCCUGACUGUGCUAAGGUAGCAUAAUAAAUUGGCUUUUAAUUAAAGUCUAGAAUGAAAGGAUAAAUGUAUAAUAACUAUCUAUUUUAUAAUUUAAUUGAAGUUUCUUAAAAGGUGAAAAUUCCUUUAAUUACUUUCAAAAGACGAGAAGACCCUAGGAGUUUUAAUUUUUGUUGGGGCGACAUAAUAACAAUAUAAACUUAUUAAAAUUUUAAUCCUAUUUAUCGAAAAAUUUUAGUUUUAUUUAAACUACCCUAGGGAUAACAGCAUAAUUUAUUAUAUUAAGUUUGUGACCUCGAUGUUGGACUAGGAAAUUUUAAUAUUAACUAUAUUAACAAUUUGUUCUGUUCGAACAUUUCACUCCU
rnacentral:rRNA from 1 species